rnacentral:rRNA from 1 species
GGAUUAGAUACCCUGGUAGUCCACGCCCUAAACGAUGUGCGCUAGAUGUCGGGGGACUUGUCCUUCGGUGUCGGAGCUAACGUGUUAAGCGCACCGCCUGGGGAGUACGGCCGCAAGGUUAAAACUCAAAGGAAUUGACGGGGGCCCGCACAAGCGGUGGAGCAUGUGGUUUAAUUCGACGCAACGCGCAGAACCUUACCAGCCCUUGACAUGUUGGUUAAAGCCAGGCGAGAGCUUGGUGUUCCUUCGGGAGGCCAUCACAGGUGCUGCAUGGCUGUCGUCAGCUCGUGCCG